rnacentral:lncRNA from 1 species
AUACGUGAACACCCGGCCCAAACCCAAGGCGAAGAUGAACAGCCCUCACGAUGGUCCUCCCCAAUUCAAGGCUUAAGCAGGGUUAUACCUAUACGGCGUGCGUUUCUCUCCGCCCUCUACAUUAUUUUCCUCUCUUUACCGUCUCAGCCAUUUCUGUAUCCCUAGGAACAGAGGUGGAAGCUUUCAGUUCUAAACGGCGUGUCAAGGUUUGAAAAUUCGUUUUCAAUUUCUAAAACUACUGUUUAUUUUAUGUUACAUCUUGAUGCUGGAUUUGCUUCUUGUAAAUAGAAAGAAAAGAUAGUUGUUUUUUUAAUAGAAUAAAUAGAUUUUUUACUUGUUCUUCCCAAUUCUAUUUAUUAAAAUCUACUCAAGUUUUAGCUUCAUUUUUCUGUCAAUGUUGUUGCUCAACUUCCUUUUACUGGGUUGGCUUGUAGGACUUGAGUUUUUUAUUAAGUUCUCUCUGUCAAUGGGCGGCUUGGAAGGUUUAAAUCAUGGUUGGUAAGGCAUCGCCUAGGCGUCGAUUAGGCGUCCAAGAGGUUACUCAAGGACUAGGCGAGGAUACGCUUUAGUUGAACUUCGUAGUCGAACGCCUCGGCAGUCAAGUCGUCGCUUUUGGUCGCCUAGGCGACGACUCGAUCGACUUACUUUUACGGAUUACCCAGAACUUUGAGAGAGAGAAAAAGAUGAAGAGAGAAACUCUUAAUAUUAUACACGCAGACCUGUUCGGGAAUGACUUAUUUUAAAUGACUUAUAGGUUAUUUUAAAUUGUGACUCAUAAAUAAAAACAUUGGAUAUUAAUUUGACUUAUAAGUCAAAAUUAAGUUAAAACAAGUUAGGAAGAUGUUCGGCUUAUAAUGACAAUAAAUGUAAAAAUUAUUAAAAAGGAC